UACAGUUGGUCAUUCUGUUACAACAAUCCAAUGGCCUAACAGAUCUUCAACAGUCUAAUAGAUUUCUAACAGCCCAACAAAUUUUUCUUAAGACCUAAGCAAGCUCCCUCUAUAAAAAAGAGGAUAAGGUGCUCUCCGAGAGAUGAGUCUAAGCUAAGUUGUGCUAAAAUUCUCACUAAAAAAUUAGAGUUCUCUCCACUUAGAGUUCAUUCUAUUUCUCUCCAUUCACAAACUCAUUUCUUGCUUUCUACUUCUCCAUUUUCACUAUCUAUUCUCAAGGCCCCGAUUGAUUUAAGCAUUGGAGGGUCCU
rnacentral:lncRNA from 1 species